ACACACACACACGCUGUGCCAUUGUUAAUUGAUCAAUGGUGAUGUCUUUUCUCUCUCUCUCUCCAUUAUUAGGUGACCCAAGACCCACGGUUAUAUAAGGAGGUGUAUGAAGAAACGACAGCAUAGAGGACCCAGCACAUCCCCUCACAGAUUCCAUGCUUUUCAAAAUAUUAGAACAAGAUUUCAAGGCAUUUUCCUUAAAGAACUUGCAACAUUUCAGGAGUGCGUCACCAUUUGGGUUUUCAUUUUGUACAAUACAUCACCUAACACCAAGAACGCUACAUUUUGUAAGCUAUGUUUCUUGCAUUGCCAGUAACCAAUAUUUAAAAGAAAAAAGAAUGUGUAUAUAUAAAUUGAUAUCUUAUUUGUCAUUAUUUACACUUUCAUUACUGUACAUUGAAAAAAAAUAGACAGUGUUUUCUUUUCACAAUAAAAUUGUAUUUACAUAUGU